UGUCUGGCUCAGUUGGUAAAGAAUCUGCCUGCAAUGCAGGAGACCCUGGGUUCGAUUCCUGGGUCA
rnacentral:tRNA from 1 species